AUGUCCACAUCACGUUGAAAUACCAUUUCUCGUACGAUCACCGAAGUUAAGCAAAGCCGAUCCUGGUUAGUACCUUGAUGGGCGAUCGCUUGGGAAUACCAGGGUCUGU